UUUCCUACGGGACGCAGCAGUGGGGAAUAUUGGGCAAUGGGCGCAAGCCUGACCCAGCAACGCCGCGUGAAGGAAGAAGGCUUUCGGGUUGUAAACUUCUUUUAUUGAGGACGAAACAAAUGACGGUACUCAAUGAAUAAGCCACGGCUAACUACGUGCCAGCAGCCGCGGUAAUACGUAGGUGGCAAGCGUUAUCCGGAUUUACUGGGUGUAAAGGGCGUGUAGGCGGGACUGCAAGUCAGAUGUGAAACCC
rnacentral:rRNA from 1 species